AUUGAACGCUGGCGGCAGGCCUAACACAUGCAAGUCGAACGAGUGGCGGACGGGUGAGUAAUGUCUGGGUAACUGCCCGAUGGCGAGGGAUAACUACUGGAAACGGUAUGUAAUAACGCUUACCAUCGGAUGUGCCCAGAUUGGAUUAGCUGGUUGGUGAGGUAACGGCUCACCUAGGCGACGAUGCCUAGCUGGUCUGAGAGGAUGACCAGCAACACGGGAACUGGGAUACGGUCCCGACUCCUACCGGAGGCACGAGUGGGGCAUCUUCCACAAUGGGCGCAAGCGUGAAGCAGCCAUGCCGCGUGUAUGAAGAAGGCCUUCGGGUUGUAAAGUACUUCACGCGUCGAGGCGUUACCCGCAGAAGAAGCACCGGCUAACUCCGUGCCAGCCGCCGCGGUAAUAC
rnacentral:rRNA from 1 species